rnacentral:rRNA from 1 species
GUGGGGAAUAUUGGACAAUGGGGGCAACCCUGAUCCAGCAAUGCCGCGUGUGUGAUGAAGGCCUGCGGGUUGUAAAGCACUUUCGGUGAGGAAGAAAAGCUCAAAUAUAAUACAUUUGAGAAUUGACGUUACUCACAGAAGAAGCACCGGCAAACUCUGUGCCAGCAGCCGCGGUAAUACAGAGGGUGCAAGCGUUAAUCGGAUUUACUGGGCGUAAAGGGCGUGUAGGCGGAUACUUUAGUCGAUUGUGAAAUCCCUGGGCUCAACCUAGGAAUUGCAGUCGAUACUGGGUGUCUUGAGUAUGGUAGAGGAAAGUGGAAUUCUCGGUGUAGUGGUUAAAUACGUAGAUAUCGAGAGGAACAUCGGUGGCGAAGGCGGCUUUCUGGCCCAAUACUGACGCUGAGGCGCGAAAGCGUGGGGAGCAAACAGG